rnacentral:rRNA from 1 species
UUGGUGACUCAUAAUAACUUUACGGAUCACAUUAUGUGACAUAUCAUUCAAGUUUCUGACCUAUCAGCUUUAGACGGUAGGGUAUUGGCCUACCGUGGCUAUGACGGGUAACGGGGAAUUAGGGUUCGAUUCCGGAGAGGGAGCCUGAGAAACGGCUACCACAUCUAAGGAAGGCAGCAGGCGCGCAAAUUACCCAAUCCUAAUACAGGGAGGUAGUGACAAGAAAUAACAAUACAGAACCUUACGGUUUUGUAAUUGGAAUGAGUUAAGUAUAAACCCCUUAACAAGUAUCAAUUGGAGGGCAAGUCUGGUGCCAGCAGCCGCGGUAAUUCCAGCUCCAAUAGCGUAUAUUAAAGUUGUUGCAGUUAAAAAGCUCGUAGUUAAUCUUCUGUUAAUUUUUAUAUAUAAUAUCUCGAUAUUUAUAUAAUAUUAACAUAAUUCAUAUUACUUUUUAGUAUAUGAAACUUUACUUUGAGAAAAUUAGAGUGCUUAAAGCAGGCUAUUGCCUUGAAUACUCCAGCAUGGAAUAAUAUUAAGGAUUUUUAUUCUUCUUAUUGGUUCUAGAAUAAAAAUGAUGAUUAAUAGGAACAGUUGGGGGCAUUUGUAUUUAACAGUCAGAGGUGAAAUUCUUAGAUUUGUUAAAGACAAACUACUGCGAAAGCAUUUGCCAAGGAUGUUUUCAUUAAUCAAGAACGAAAGUUAGGGGAUCGAAGACGAUCAGAUACCGUCGUAGUCUUAACCAUAAACUAUGCCACUA